rnacentral:rRNA from 1 species
UGGGGAAUUUUGGACAAUGGGCGAAAGCCUGAUCCAGCAAUGCCGCGUGUGUGAAGAAGGCCUUCGGGUUGUAAAGCACUUUUGUCCGGAAAGAAAUCCUUGGCUCUAAUACAGUCGGGGGAUGACGGUACCGGAAGAAUAAGCACCGGCUAACUACGUGCCAGCAGCCGCGGUAAUACGUAGGGUGCAAGCGUUAAUCGGAAUUACUGGGCGUAAAGCGUGCGCAGGCGGUUUGCUAAGACCGAUGUGAAAUCCCCGGGCUCAACCUGGGAACUGCAUUGGUGACUGGCAGGCUAGAGUAUGGCAGAGGGGGGUAGAAUUCCACGUGUAGCAGUGAAAUGCGUAGAGAUGUGGAGGAAUACCGAUGGCGAAGGCAGCCCCCUGGGCCAAUACUGACGCUCAUGCACGAAAGCGUGGGGAGCAAACAGGAUUAGAUACCCUGGUAGUCCACGCCCUAAACGAUGUCAACUAGUUGUUGGGGAUUCAUUUCCUUAGUAACGUAGCUAACGCGUGAAGUUGACCGCCUGGGGAGUACGGUCGCAAGAUUCAAAACUCAAAGGGAAUUGACGGGGUCAUAGCUGUUUCCU